CGGACGGGUGAGUAAUGUCUGGGAAACUGCCUGAUGGAGGGGGAUAACUACUGGAAACGGUAGCUAAUACCGCAUAACGUCUUCGGACCAAAGUGGGGGACCUUCGGGCCUCACGCCAUCGGAUGUGCCCAGAUGGGAUUAGCUAGUAGGUGGGGUAAUGGCUCACCUAGGCGACGACCCCUAGCUGGUCUGAGAGGAUGACCAGCCACACUGGAACUGAGACACGGUCCAG
rnacentral:rRNA from 1 species